CAGUCGCCGCGGUAACACGGAGGAUCCAAGCGUUAUCCGGAAUCAUUGGGUUUAAAGGGUCCGUAGGCGGUCUUGUAAGUCAGUGGUGAAAGCCCAUCGCUCAACGGUGGAACGGCCAUUGAUACUGCAGGACUUGAAUUAUUGGGAAGUAACUAGAAUAUGUAGUGUAGCGGUGAAAUGCUUAGAGAUUACAUGGAAUACCAAUUGCGAAGGCAGGUUACUACCAAUUGAUUGACGCUGAUGGACGAAAGCGUGGGUAGCGAACAGGAUUAGAUACCCGAGUAGUCCCUGUCUCUUAUAC
rnacentral:rRNA from 1 species